GGGGAUUUAGUUCAGUGGUAGAACACUUGCCUAGCAAGCGCAAGGCCCUGGGUUCGGUCCCCAGCUCCG
rnacentral:tRNA from 1 species